rnacentral:lncRNA from 1 species
GCGCUCUCCGCAAUAAAACUUUUUGAUGUUCACGUUGCUAAUUGCCGAGGUCCUCUUCUAGGAUUGGUUGUCCACUCAUAACCAUAAGAUAAUUAAAACGGGGGGGGGCAGGGUAAAAAAAAAACCCUUUUAUCAGCCAUAGGUUAAUGCAAGUGUUUAACAGAUGCUUCGCUAUUAAAAUAUUUCCCCCCAAUACUGAAGAAUCUUAAACCAGCAACCCUAACAGAGAUUGCGAAGAUUUUCAAAGUGGGGCACCUCGAUUUCUCGAAUCUGUGGUGUGGCGAAUAUCCGUGUUCCUCCUGCUUAACUAGCCUGUUUGAAGGCACAGUUCAUUCUCGAGCAAUUCGUCACCUCCUGGGGGUCUUCUCUUCCCGUCUACAGGAGAGUGUGACUUCAGAAAGAACUUCGGAUUGGCCAAGGCAGGUCUGAUUCUAUUUAUUCUAAAGACAGAGUUGGAGAUGGGCUACCAUUGGUGUUGAUUGAGAUGACAAGCAGUCACCUGAGCCCAUACAGCUGUGGGAGAAAGUGCUUGCUGCCAAGCUUGAUGACCUAAAUUGAAUACCUGGAACCUACACGACAGAAAGAGAGAGCUGACUGCUGAAAGAUGUCCUCAGAUCUUCACAUGUGCACAGUGGCACCUAUCCAACCAUGCACAUAGUAUAUUAAAAAUUAUUUUUUAAAAAAUCCAG